AAUUUUUUUGCACAAGCAGCUGAAAGGGCACUGUUUCCGCACCGCUGUAGUGACAAAUGAAGCUAGCCAGCCAUCUACGUCUUUUUGUAUAAAUAAUUGAUAUUCCUCAACAGCUACCUAUUUUUCCUUUAUUGUUUUCGGGGGAAACUAUGUCAAGUCGGAGGAGUGAAGCCCUGGCUUUCUCGCUAGUGACGGGUAUAAACCAUGCCAUGGCCAGGCUGGUGGACAUCUGGGACAGCAUGGGCAUCAUGGAGGAGCAGAGGGUGGAGCGAAUGGAGACAGUGAAGAAACACAUUGAGGGCCUUUUGAAUGAUAUGAUCACUGAGGAGGAAGCCUUGAGGCACCGCAUCCGGGCCAAUAUCAUCACUUUUCAAAAACAGCUGGAUACCUUGUGCCUGGAAAUGUCAAUGGAUCCAUACAAAAUGGAGGAGGGCCUGACAGUCCUCCAGAUUGAGAAGAACCUGCGUCUACGUGUGGAGGUUCUGACCAAGGAGAAGGGGGAGCGUUUGAAGGAGCUACACGGACUGCAGCAGCAGGAUAAGGAACUGUGUGUGGAGCUGUGCGUCACCCCUUAUUACAUCCCCACUGGCAGCAUGCCAUCUCGCACGCAGCUACAGGAACUCCGGGAGCACGUCCAGACCCUCAGUGAGGAAAAGAAGAGUCGUGCAAAGGUGUUCUCAGGUCUGCGUGAGGACAUCAGGAAGCUGAUGGAGGAGAUGGGUCAUGAACCAGAGACUAGCCUGGAGAAAGAGUCUGUGGGCCACGACGAGGAUAUAUUCCUGCUCACUCAUGAAAAUAUCAAAGCCCUCAAACUGCUGCUCUCCCAGAUGGAGGUCAAGAAGGAAACACUGACAAAUACUCUAGCUGAGCUGAAAGAACGAUCCAUGUGCCUGUGGAAUCGUCUGGAUGCGCUGGAGCAAAACUGCAGUGUGUUCCAAGAGAGUGUGCAGGGUACCCUCUCUGACCAAAUCACACAGUGGCAGGGGGAGGUGGACCGUCUGACAGAACUGCAGAAGACCAAGCUGGGGGAUGUGAUUGAAAAGGUCAGACAGGAACUAGUGACCUUCUGGGACAAGUGCAACCUGGGCCGUGAGCAGAGGGAACCCUUCAAUGCCCACUUCUGUGACAAUAACUUCACAGAGGAGUUGUUGGCGCUGCACGAUGCUGCACUAUUGAAGGUGAAGAAUUAUUACGACCAGGUAAAGCCCUUACUGGAGGCCCUGCAGAGAUGGGAGAAGUACUGGGCCCUCUUCCAGGAUUUUGAGAAAAAGGCCAAUGAUCCAAACCGUUUCUCCAAUAGAGGAGGAGCCCUUCUUAAAGAGGCCAAAGAGAAGAUCAAAGUUCAAAAGAUGCUGCCAAAGUUGGAGGAAGAACUGAAGAAGGGGGUUGAAGCCUGGGAGAAGGACCAGGGUUCUGCCUUCCUGGUUCAGGGCCGGAGAGUCAUGACCUACAUCUCCAGCCAAUGGGAGGAGUACAAGCAGCAGAGGGACAAGGAGAAAAGUGAACGUGCCGCCUUGCAGACAUCAAAGAAGGGGGGAGAUGACAACCCCAUUCAAAACUCCCACUAAGAGGGCCCAUGGAGGGAUAAACGGCCCUACCCCCAACAAGAUCAGAAAGAAGACUCCUAGCCAGGUUACCAGGGUGCGGUCAGCCAACACCUUCAUAAGUGUGCCCAGCAGCAAGCCUCCUCUCUCCCAGGUUCAGAUGCAGAAAAUGAGGCCCCUGGAGAGCAGCAGCAGUCAGAGAACGCCCCUGCUGGAGUGCAACAGUACAGAGAGGAAACAACCUGUUGACAUCAGCUACCUUGACUUCACUAGUGCGUUGUCCAAAAAGUCAAGUGAUGCAGUUUUCAAUUCCACAGCAAAGGACCCUGCGUUUUAAGAGGUGCGUGCACAGUUCACUCCUCAGGUUGUGUUCUGUCCACUUGGCACUCUUCUCCUGGCUACACGGCCAGUGUUUUAAUAAAAUUGGUUAGAUUUCAAAGUAACAGCAACACCAAUUAGCUCAAAUUAGUUACAUCAAAGACUUGCCGUGGCUACACGUGUCUAGAUGCAACUAAUUUGGGCUAAUUGGUGUUGCUGUUACUUUGAAAUCUAACCAAUUUUAUUUAUGUAUAGUAAUACGACAACCUGCAUGGGAGUGGUUAGGUCAAAGGGGAAUCUUAGUGUAAUUUGCAACGUAUUGUAAUAGUAAAGGUGUGGAUGAAACUGUCAUAAAGCCAUGUUUUCCGAUUAUUAAUAUUCUGCUGUCCAGGGCAGGUAUUUCACGAGUUUGAUACUUUUUUAAAGGUAGAGCCCCUUAGAUGUUAGACAUGCAGUACUUUAAUAUUCAUUUGAAAUGUUUUACUUUAUAAUAAAUGACCAGGUAACACCAGAUGAAGCAUCCUGUUUUGAUACAGACCUUCCAGCAGAUCUACAUGCUAUUCUUUAAAAAAAAUGUUUUAUUAUAAAUAUUUCUGUUUGUAAAUAUUGCUUUCUUGUAAUGCUACUUCUCAUUUGUUUCUUCUGCACACACACUGUCUUGGCAAUGUGUUUUGUCCUUGUGUCAACAUGUGAAUUUUACUGUUUCUUGUAUACCUAUUAAUAAAUAUGUCACCUGUCUUUUAA